GUAUUCCACUGGUCGCCCCAACAGCAUAUAUAUAUAUAUAUAUAUAUAUAUAUAUAUAUAUAUAUAUAUAUAUAUAUAUAUAUAUAUAUAUAUAUAUAUAUAUAUAUAUAUAUAUAUGCUGUUGGGGCGACCAGUGGAAUAC